AGCGAACGUUAGCGGCGCGCCUAACACAUGCAAGUCGCACGAGAAAGGGCUUCGGCCCCGGUAAAGUGGCGCACGGGUGAGUAACACGUGGGCAACCUGCCCAACCCUGGGGGAUAACCUGCCGAAAGGCGGGCUAAUACCGCGUACGAGGGCUCGACUUCGGUCGGGUUCUGAAAGCAGGCCUCUGUAUACAAGCUUGUGGUGUUGGGUGGGCCCGCGCUCCAUCAGCUAGUUGGUGAGGUAACGGCUCACCAAGGCUACGACGGAUAGCUGGUCUGAGGGGAUGAUCAGCCACACUGGAACUGAGACACGGUCCAGACUCCUACGGGAGGCAGCAGUGGGGAAUCUUGCGCAAUGGACGAAAGUCUGACGCAGCGACGCCGCGUGGGUGACGAAGGCCUUCGGGUUGUAAAGCCCUGUGGGGUGAGACGAACAGCUGGGAUUCGAAUAGGGUCUUGGUCUGACGGUAUCACCUUAGCAAGCACCGGCUAACUCUGUGCCAGCCGCCGCCGUAAGAC
rnacentral:rRNA from 1 species